rnacentral:rRNA from 1 species
AACGAACGCUGGCGGCAUGCCUAACACAUGCAAGUCGAACGGGAUCCUGGUUUCGGCCAGGUGAGAGUGGCGGACGGGUGAGUAACGCGUGGGAACCUGCCCAGUGGUGGGGAUAACUGCGGGAACUGCAGCUAAUACCGCAUGAGCCCACAAGGGGAAAGAUUGAUCGCCAUUGGAGGGGCCCGCGUUCGAUUUAGGUAGUUGGUGAGGUAACGGCUCACCAAGCCUACGAUCGGAGCUGGUCUGAGAGGAUGAUCAGCCACACUGGGACUGAGAUACGGCCCAGACUCCUACGGGAGGCAGCAGUGGGGAAUAUUGGACAAUGGGGGCAACCUGAUCCAGCAAUGCCGCGUGAGUGAUGAA